UACGGAGGGUGCGAGCGUUGCUCGGAAUCAUUGGGCGUAAAGCGUACGCAGGCGGCCGUUCAAGUCGGGUGUGAAAGCCCAGGGCUCAACCCUGGAAAUGCGCCCGAGACUGGAUGGCUUGAGUGCGGGAGAGGGAAGCGGAAUUCCUGGUGUAGAGGUGAAAUUCGUAGAUAUUGGGAAGAACACCGGUGGCGAAGGCGGCUCACUGGCUCGUAUCUGACGCUCAGGCGCGACAGCGUGGGGAUCAAACAGG
rnacentral:rRNA from 1 species